ensembl:snRNA U1 U1 spliceosomal RNA
AUACUUACCUGGCAGGGGAGAUACCAUGAUCAUGUAGGUGGUUCACCCAGGGCGAGGCUCAGCUAUUGCACUGAGGCUGUCUGACCUCUGUGAUCAGCGGUGAGCUCGACAGUAGUGCAGUUUGCGUUAGGACUUAUUGGCUGAGAGUCUAUAAAUA